GGUUGCGGCCAUAUCCUGGUGAAAAUACGGCUUCCCGUCCGAUCAGCCAUAAGUCAAGCCACCAGAGAGCCUAGUUAUAUUGUGUAGUGGGGAGACCAUACGAGAAUCCUGGGUGCUGCAAUC
rnacentral:rRNA from 1 species